CUUGGUCAUUUAGAGGAAGUAAAAGUCGUAACAAGGUUUCCGUAGGUGAACCUGCGGAAGGAUCAUUAAUGGUGCUUGCAGAAAUGCUUGCACGGCGGCGGCCUUAAAACGCGCCAAAUGGCACCCUUUGUUUACGAGUACCGUUCGUUUCCUCGGUGGGCUUGCCUGCCAUGAGGACCAACAAAAACCUUUUGUAGUAGCAGUAUCUUCAGUAAAAACAAAUAUUAAAACUUUCAACAACGGAUCUCUUGGUUCUGGCAUCGAUGAAGAACGCAGCGAAAUGCGAUAAGUAGUGUGAAUUGCAGAAUUCAGUGAAUCAUCGAAUCUUUGAACGCACAUUGCGCCCUUCGGUAUUCCGUUGGGCAUGCCUGUUCGAGCGUCAUUUAAUCAUUCAAGCUCUGCUUGGUGUUGGGUGUUUGUUCCGCCUCAGCGCGUGGACUCGCCUUAAAUUCAUUGGCAGCCGGUAUGUUGGCUUCGUGCGCAGCACAUUGCGUCGCGAUUCUGGCAGGCCUCCUCCCAUUAAGCUUCUUUUAAGUUUGACCUCGGAUCAGGUAGGGAUACCCGCUGAACUUAAGCAUAUCAAUAAGCGGAGGAAAAGAAACCAACAGGGAUUGCCCCAGUAACGGCGAGUGAAGCGGCAAUAGCUCAAAUUUGAAAUCUGGCUCUUUCAGGGUCCGAGUUGUAAUUUGCAGAGGGCGCUUUGGCGUCGGCAGCAGCCUAAGUUCCUUGGAACAGGUCAUCAUAGAGGGUGAGAAUCCCGUAUGUGGCUGCUUGUCUUCGCCGUGUAAAGCCCCUUCGAUGAGUCGAGUUGUUUGGGAAUGCAGCUCUAAAUGGGAGGUAAAUUUCUUCUAAAGCUAAAUAUUGGCCAGAGACCGAUAGCGCACAAGUAGAGUGAUCGAAAGAUGAAAAGCACUUUGGAAAGAGAGUCAAAAAGCACGUGAAAUUGUUGAAAGGGAAGCGCUUGCAGCCAGACGUGCCCGUAGUUGCUCAUCGGGGGUUCUCCCCCGUGUACUCUUCUAUGGGCAGGCCAGCAUCAGUCCGGGCGGUUGGAGAAAGACCUGUGUCAUGUAGCUGUUUUCGGGCAGUGUUAUAGGGCAGGUGGAAUGCAACCAGCCUGGACUGAGGUCCGCGCAUCUGCUAGGAUGCUGGCGUAAUGGCUGUAAGCGGCCCGUCUUGAAACACGGACC
rnacentral:rRNA from 1 species